AUGCUCUGGGCUCCCCUCAUCCUCCUGCUGGGGACGUGGUGCACAGGUUCCAUCUCACAGUCUGUGGUGACUCAGCCACCCUCAGCGUCGGUGUCCCCAGGAAACACUGUGAAACUCUCCUGCACCAUGAGCAGUGGGACCAGCAUCAGUGGCUACUAUGUGAACUGGUUCCAGCAGAAACCUGGGAAUUCUCCACGAUACCUGCUGUAUUACAAGUCAGAUUCUGACAAGCACCAGGGCUCUGGGGUCCCUGCUCGCUUCUCUGGGUCCAAAGACACGUCCAGUAACGCCGGCUAUUUAACCAUCUCCGGGGUCCUUGUAGAGGAUGAGGCUGAUUAUUACUGUGCUGUGUGGCACAACAGUGCUUGUCACAGUGAUACAGACAGAUGGGGAAAAAUGAAUUUAGUAGAAUACAGUGACUGCGCAGUCAGCGCCCCUCAGCUCUGCCAUUUCUGUGGCUUUUCCUAG